CGGCGCGGCGGGCCGGUCUCAUCCGGAAGAUGGAUCGGCUUCUGAGGGAGAGAAGGAAGGGAAUAAUGAAAGCCACAUGGUGUCACCACCAGAGAAGGAUGAUGGCCAGAAAGGUGAAGAAGCUGUUGGUAGCACAGAGCAUCCUGAAGAAGUCACAACCCAAGCGGAAGCUGCAAUUGAAGAGGGGGAGGUCGAGACAGAAGGGGAAGCUGCAGUGGAAGGGGAAGAGGAGGCUGUGUCCUAUGGAGAUGCUGAAAGCGAAGAGGAAUAUUACUAUACAGAAACUUCAUCCCCCGAAGGGCAAACCAGUGCUACAGAUAUGACUUACCCAUAUUUCAGUCCUCCUCAGGAACUGCCUGGAGAGGAGGCGUACGAUAGUGCUAGCGGGGAAGCUGGUCUCGAAGGCUCCCAGCAAGAGGCCACCGGUCCACCAGAAUCCAGAGAAGGGAGGGUCACCUCCCUGGAGCCAUCCCACGGAGUCUUAGGCCCGUCGGAGCAAAUGGGCCAAGUCACCUCUGGGCCAGCAGUGGGAAGAUUGACAGGAUCCACAGAGGAGCCCCAGGGGCAGGUGCUCCCGAUGGGCGCCCGGCACCGCUUCCGGCUGAGCCACGGGAGCGACAUCGAGUCCUCAGACCUGGAGGAGUUCGUCUCGCAGGAGCCAGGUGCCGCCCACCCGCUGAGGUCACCCUGCCCUGGCGAUGAGCCACGUGCACA
rnacentral:sRNA from 1 species